GCAUAAUAAUUAGUUUUUUAAUUGAAAACUGGAAUGAAAGGUUUAAACUAAAGAGAUAGUUUUAUUUAAUUAUAUUGAAUUUAAAUUAAAGGUAAAAAUGCUUUUAUUAAAUUUUGGGACGAGAAGACCCUAGAAGCUUAAAAUUAAAAUUAAUUUUUAAUUGGGGUAAUGUUUGAAGAGGUAAAUUUUUGAAAAUAAAAAAAUAAAAGAAAAUAAAGUUACUCUAGGGAUAACAGCAUUAUUUAACUAACAAGUUCUUAUUAAUAGUUAAGUUUAUGACCUCGAUGUUGAAUUAAAU
rnacentral:rRNA from 1 species